CCUUCUUCUUCUCGUCCCGCUGCGCAAACCUCGUUAGCGUCACCCGACAAGCGAGAGUGAAGCCGAACCUCGGCGAGAGGCCACUCCUACGCAGAACACUGACACGGAAGGGCGGAGCCGGAAUCGAACCCCGCACCUCUGCACGAGAGAACGCCCACCUGAGUGGAGCCAACUGCGGAAGGUGAGGCUGCAGUUCUGCUUGUCAAAGGGAAAGGCGUACA